CUACGGGCUGCUGCAGUGAGGAAUAUUGCACAAUGGGGGAAACCCUGAUGCAGCAACGCCGCGUGGAGGAUGACGCAUUUCGGUGUGUAAACUCCUUUUAUCAGAGAAGAAAAUGACGGUAUCUGAUGAAUAAGCUCCGGCUAACUCCGUGCCAGCAGCCGCGGUAAUACGGAGGGAGCAAGCGUUAUUCGGAAUCACUGGGCGUAAAGGACGCGUAGGCGGGUUUUUAAGUCAGGUGUGAAAUCCUAUGGCUCAACCAUAGAACUGCGCUUGAAACUGGGGACCUAGAGUAUGGAAGGGGCAGGUGGAAUUAGUGGUGUAGGGGUAAAAUCCGUAGAUAUCACUAGGAAUACCGAAAGCGAAGGCGACCUGCUGGGACAUUACUGACGCUGAGGCGUGAAAGCGUGGGGAGCAAACAGGAUUAGAUACCCCCGUAGUC
rnacentral:rRNA from 1 species